rnacentral:rRNA from 1 species
AACGUAGGUGGCAAGCGUUAUCCGGAUUUACUGGGCGUAAAGCGUGUGCAGACGGGGCUUCAAGUGGUGUAUGAAAUCGCUCGGCUCAACCGGGCGCGGGUAUGCCAGACUGGAGUGCUAGAGGGUGCGAGAGGGACGUGGAAUUCCGGGUGUAGUGGUGAAAUGCGUAGAUAUCUGGAGGAACACCGGUGGCGAAGGCGGCGUCCUGGACCAACACUGACACUGAUGAGCGAAAGCCAGGGGAGCAAACGGG